UGAAGUUUCCCUGCACUAUGGAUUGCCUGAUGAUGAAUAAGUGUUGACUGCCCACUAAAGGCUUUGGCACACUCAUUACACUUGUAAGGGUUCUCUCCAGUAUGAAUUCUCCUGUCUUUUGAGGCUUGUCCAGUAUGAAUUGUCUUAUGAAUUACAAGGACUGAAUUGUUGCCACAUUCAUUACACUUGUAAGGUUUCUCUCCAGUAUGAUUUGCCUUAUGAAUUACAAGGGCUGAAUUUUGACUGAACAUCUU
rnacentral:antisense_RNA from 1 species